UCCAGCAGCCAUAUCACUGGCACCGCAGUGAAGCUCAGCAGGUGUGAGCCUGGUCAGUACCUGGAUGGGAGACCUCCUGGGAAAAACCAAGAUUGCUGCUUUAA
rnacentral:rRNA from 1 species